rnacentral:lncRNA from 1 species
ACGCCAACAUAUUGACACUUCUAGUUUUCAAACACAUUAAGAUCAGAUCAGAAUAAAACAAAGGGCUAAUUAGAAACUGCCUCUUGAUUUGACCAAGUCCGCGGCUGCCAACAACAAGAACGUCCACGUGCAUUCGUUCUACUGCCUCACAAAUCAUUUCCUUGGGAUCUCCCUCAAGAAUGAGGGUUUCUGCAGCGACCUACGUGCAAAUAUAUAGCCAUAUCCAAGAAUCAGCACUUCUCAAUAUGGCUUACUUUCGAAUGCUUCUCCAAAAUGAUAGUACUACAUGGUUUGACACGCACGGAAAAAAAAAAAGAAGAAGAAAAGAAAGAAGCUCCUGCAAUGUUCAUACUAGUACUGCUAACUAGAUAAUGACCUUUCUGUCCUUGCACAUACGGGAUGCCUGCGAGAGUAUUUUUGCAGCAUUUUGCUCCCGGGCUUUGGUGGCAGACUCGACCACUGGAAAUGUUAGAUUUCACGCAUAUAAUACUUGGGCAAAAAAUAACAUCAAUGGCAGCACCAAAAGCACUAGUAGUAGCUACUAGUUCAGAAUAGACAGACUAUGGAAUUGCAGAACAUACUUUUGUGUUUGUAAUUGCAUUAAUGGUGAUAUCACUAGUUGCUGUGUAAUUAAUUUAUAACAACCACGACGUACCGUAUCCGCCCGGGAAGACGUAGUGAGGCAAGCGAUCCAUGACAUGGACGAGGGAAACGAGGUUGGACUCCACUCGAUGGUCGUGUUGAUGAUCAGGUGUUUCAGUACCAGUUGGUAGCGUACUCAUCACGAUGUUACUGAAAAAUUUAUCCAGAACCCAA